rnacentral:rRNA from 1 species
GACGAACGCUGGCGGCGUGCUUAACACAUGCAAGUCGAGCGGUAAGGCCCUUUCGGGGGUACACGAGCGGCGAACGGGUGAGUAACACGUGGGUGACCUGCCCUCAGCUCUGGGAUAAGCCUGGGAAACCGGGUCUAAUACUGGAUAUGACUCCAUGACGCAUGUUGUGGGGUGGAAAGCCUUGUGCGGCUGAGGAUGGGCCCGCGGCCUAUCAGCUUGUUGGUGGGGUGANGGCCUACCAAGGCGACGACGGGUAGCCGGCCUGAGAGGGCGACCGGCCACACUGGGACUGAGACACGGCCCAGACUCCUACGGGAGGCAGCAGUGGGGAAUCUUGCGCAAUGGGGGCAACCCUGAUCCAGCCAUGCCGCGUGAGUGAAGAAGGCC